rnacentral:misc_RNA from 1 species
GAAAUGCGAUAAGUAGUGUGAAUUGAAGAAUUCAGUGAAUCAUCGAAUCUUUGAACGCACAUUGCGCCCCUUGGUAUUCCAUGGGGCAUGCCUGUUCGAGCGUCAUUUGUACCCUCAAGCUCUGCUUGGUGUUGGGUGUUUGUCCCGUCUCCGCGCGUGGACUCGCCCCAAAGUGAUUGGCAGCCGGCGUACUGGUCCCGGAGCGCAGCACAUGUCGCGCAAACGAGUGCCUUGGUACGGCGGCGUCCAUAAGCCCCUCUCUCACGCUCUUGACCUCGGAUCAGGUAGGGAUACCCGCUGAACUUAAGC